ensembl:snoRNA SNORD36 Small nucleolar RNA SNORD36
UUGCAAUGAUGUGAGGAUUUCUUCACCUGAACUGCAGAUUGAAGACCAAAAGACAUUGGCUAAUUUAACUCUGAGCUUU